CCCUUAGAUGUUCUGGGCCGCACGCGUGCUACACUGAGUGGAUCAGCGGGUCAGGUUGCGCGAAAGCGUUUCCUAAUCUUUAAAUCCGCUCGUGAUGGGGAUUGACGGUUGCAAUUUUCUGUCAUGAACGAGGAAUACCUUGUAAGCGCGGGUCAUCAUCCCGCGCUGAAUACGUCCCUGCCCUUUGUACACACCGCCCGUCGCUCCUACCGAUUGAGUGGUCCGGUGAGGCUUUGGGAUCUGAGCGGAAAGAGCGUUUCGCUGUUUCUGCUCGGAAAACUCAGUCGAACCUUAUCAUUUAGAGGAAGGAGAAGGCGUAAC
rnacentral:rRNA from 1 species